CCUACGGGAGGCAGCAGUGGGGAAUCUUGCGCAAUGGGCGAAAGCCUGACGCAGCCAUGCCGCGUGAAUGAUGAAGGUCUUAGGAUUGUAAAAUUCUUUCACCGGGGACGAUAAUGACGGUACCCGGAGAAGAAGCCCCGGCUAACUUCGUGCCAGCAGCCGCGGUAAUACGAAGGGGGCUAGCGUUGCUCGGAAUUACUGGGCGUAAAGGGAGCGUAGGCGGACAUUUAAGUCAGGGGUGAAAUCCCGGGGCUCAACCUCGGAAUUGCCUUUGAUACUGGGUGUCUUGAGUAUGAGAGAGGUGUGUGGAACUCCGAGUGUAGAGGUGAAAUUCGUAGAUAUUCGGAAGAACACCAGUGGCGAAGGCGACACACUGGCUCAUUACUGACGCUGAGGCUCGAAAGCGUGGGGAGCAAACAGGAUUAGAUACCCUGGUAGUCCACGCCGUAAACGACGAUUGCUAGUUGUCGGGAUGCAUGCAUUUCGGUGACGCAGCUAACGCAUUAAGCAAUCCGCCUGGGGAGUACGGUCGCAAGAUUAAAACUCAAAGGAAUUGACGG
rnacentral:rRNA from 1 species